UCCUUCCCUUGUCAGUGCGCAUGGCCGCCGGCCAUCCGAUUUGUUGAAAAAUAGAUAAGCAAAAAACCUCUGUUCUACCCUUCUUCUUUUGGCUUUUUUCGACGUCAGUGGUCAUCACUGACACCGAUUUGGCCUCUCCGGGCUACGUCGUCACAACCUCACUGGUCGCCGGUCGGUGCCUUCCAAUCUGAGAAACAAGAAGGGGGA
rnacentral:lncRNA from 1 species